rnacentral:siRNA from 1 species
CGAGGUUUGUUUCGUGCACCGC